CUGUGAAUAUUCUUGCUGUUCUGAUUUUGUAAUAAUUGUGGCAGGCUAAACAUUCUGUAUAUCAAGACCAUGCAUGUGUUCCUAGAUCUAGUUCUUUCCCUAGUCUGGUUUUAUCAAUGCUGGUGAUUAAC
ensembl:snoRNA SNORA72 Small nucleolar RNA SNORA72